rnacentral:rRNA from 1 species
GAUCAUAGCUCAGGAUGAACGCUAGCUACAGGCUUAACACAUGCAAGUCGAGGGGCAGCAUGGUCUUAGCUUGCUAAGGCCGAUGGCGACCGGCGCACGGGUGAGUAACACGUAUCCAACCUGCCGUCUACUCUUGGACAGCCCUCUGAAAGGAAGAUUAAUACAAGAUGGCAUCAUGAGUUCACAUGUUCACAUGAUUAAAGGUAUUCCGGUAGACGAUGGGGA